GAAGGCGACAUAAACGACAAUCGUCUCCUCGACAAGCUCUUCGACACCGUGGCAUUUACGCACGUGAUGCAUUUGGCGGCUCAAGCCGGCGUCAGGUACGCCAUGGAGAACCCCCACUCGUACGUCCACAGCAACAUCGCCGGCCUCGUCACGCUUCUCGAGGUCUGCAAAACGGCCAAUCCCCAGCCGUCGAUCGUCUGGGCCUCGUCCAGCUCCGUCUACGGCCUCAACGACAACGUUCCAUUCUCCGAAUCUGACCGCACCGACCAGCCCGCUAGCCUCUACGCCGCCACAAAGAAAGCCGGCGAGGAAAUUACCCACACUUACAACCAUAUUUACGGCCUGUCAGUUACCGGGUUGAGAUUUUUUACCGUUUACGGGCCGUGGGGCCGACCCGACAUGGCGUAUUUCUCUUUUACCCGCAACAUCCUCCAAGGCAAGCCCAUCACUAUUUACAGGGGCAAGAACCGGGUCGACUUGGCCCGCGAUUUCACGUACAUUGACGAUAUUGUGAAGGGUUGUUUGGGGUCUUUGGAUACGUCCGGGAAGAGCACCGGGUCGGGCGGAAAGAAACGGGGCCCCGCACCAUACCGAAUCUUUAAUCUGGGGAACACAUCACCGGUGACCGUGCCGACACUUGUCAGCAUCCUGGAGCGGCAUUUGAAGAUGAAGGCGAAGAAGAAUUUCGUGGAUAUGCCUGGAAACGGCGACGUUCCGU
rnacentral:lncRNA from 1 species